GAGCUUUUGACAGUUGAGGGCUGCUUGGGGAAAGCGAGCCAGUUUUCUUUAGAGGUGUGGUCCUUAGUAGGAUAGCAACGCUCCUGUGAAUGGUCCCACAUCCGCUCAUAUUCAGAACAUUGCAGACUCCUAGAGAAGGAAGAGGAAGCAGGGGAAUCUUCACCAGGGACAUCCCAGAAUGCUCUAGACCACGCGGGCUGGGAUCUCACAAAGAACCCUGGGGCUAGACGUGCAUCCUCACGAUCCGCCACAAGAGGGCGGUCAUCAAAAGCCAGUAAAAGGUCACCCUGCCCUCCGCAGACACCGGAAGAAACCUGAUCAGCGUUGGCAUGGGCUCCUGAUCUCACUGGUUUAUGGAAGGCUUCUCUGCUUUAGUACUUCUGGACAUCCUAUUGAAAUGCAGAUGCCGGUUCAGUAGUUCUAGGAUGUGGCCUGGGAGUCUGAAUUUCUACCAAAGCACCGAGGUGAUAGCAACCUGCUGGUGAAACGAGUGCUGUUUAAAGGGUUUAAUCCAGCUUCACCCUGACAAAGCUGUAUUUGCUUUCUUGGGCAAAUUCCACAGGACAAUAACAACUGACAACAUGAAAGAGAAGAAAAGUGGCCAUCGGCGGAAAAACAUCAGGCAAAGGCUCACAGCUAUGGCCUGUCUUCCAUGGACCACUGCACUUUCCUCUCUCACUAGAAGCACUGAUGUCUCUUCAGGACUCCUACGCUGUGCAAAUUUCAAUCCUUGCCUGUGUGUUUGAUUACACAU